AGAGUUUGAUCCUGGCUCAGAGCGAACGCUGGCGGCAGGCCUAACACAUGCAAGUCGAACGGAUCCUUCGGGAUUAGUGGCGGACGGGUGAGUAACACGUGGGAACGUGCCCUUUGGUUCGGAACAACUCAGGGAAACUUGAGCUAAUACCGGAUGUGCCCUUCGGGGGAAAGAUUUAUCGCCAUUGGAGCGGCCCGCGUCUGAUUAGCUAGUUGGUGGGGUAAAGGCCCACCAAGGCGACGAUCAGUAGCUGGUCUGAGAGGAUGAUCAGCCACAUUGGGACUGAGACACGGCCCAAACUCCUACGGGAGGCAGCAGUGGGGAAUCUUGCGCAAUGGGCGAAAGCCUGACGCAGCCAUGCCGCGUGAAUGAUGAAGGUCUUAGGAUUGUAAAAUUCUUUCACCGGGGACGAUAAUGACGGUACCCGGAGAAGAAGCCCCGGCUAGCUUCGUGCCAGCAGCCGCGGUAAUACGAAGGGGGCUAGCGUUGCUCGGAAUUACUGGGCGUAAAGGGAGCGUAGGCGGACUGUUAAGUUAGAGGUGAAAGCCCAGGGCUCAACCUUGGAAUUGCCUUUGAUACUGGCAGUCUUGAGUACGGAAGAGGUAUGUGGAACUCCGAGUGUAGAGGUGAAAUUCGUAGAUAUUCGGAAGAACACCAGUGGCGAAGGCGACAUACUGGUCCGUUACUGACGCUGAGGCUCGAAAGCGUGGGGAGCAAACAGGAUUAGAUACCCUGGUAGUCCACGCCGUAAACGAUGAGUGCUAGUUGUCGG
rnacentral:rRNA from 1 species